UCAACUCUCUUCGAGGGUUAAGCAUUCUGCGGUGUCCAAAUCUUGUAUCGUUUCCAGAAGAAGGUUUUCCUACCAAUCUAACAUCACUUACAAUUGGAUAUUUCAAAAUGUAUAAGACACUCGUCCAGUGGGGGUUGCACAGGCUUACCUCUCUUCGAGACCUCUGGAUCAUUGGAUGUGAUGAUGAAGCAGAGUGUUUUCCAGACGAGGCGAUAGGAAUGACGCUGCCCACCUCUCUCACUGUACUGGGCCUUACGGGAUUCAAAAAUUUGAUAUCUCUGUCUUCGACGGGUUUUCAGAGCCUCAACUCUCUUCGAUCUUUGUGGAUAUUGGGUUGCCCAAAUCUCACAUCAUUCCCAGAGGUGGGCCUACCAUCCUCACUUUUGGAAUUACACAUUGGAGAUUGUCCAAAGCUUAAAAAAGCGUGCAAAAGAGAUCAAGGAAAAGAGUGGCCCAAAAUUGCUCACAUCCCUCUGGUUUUGAUAGACGGUAAAUUCAUAUACGAUCCAGAAGCAGAGGAGUAGAUUCUACUAUUAAGGUCAGUUGAUUUGUAUUAUCAGCAAUAACAAGCUCCUCCUAUUUGUUAAGGUAAUCACUCACAGAUGAAAUUAUAACUUUUAUCUUAAAUUUAUUGCCAUUGACAGAUGGACGAUUUUUAGUCCAAAGUUUUGUUAUUCACUUCAAUCAAAAUUUUAGAUUGCAGAUUUUUGUCAAUUAUUUCAUUUUUUAUUUUAUUUUAAAGCAGAAUUGGAUUAUAACAUUUGGAGCGCGACGACUCUGAUGCAUGCAAUUAACUGUUUUUAAUCGUUGGAUUUUGAAAUUAAUGAUGGUAAGAUGUGUACUUAUUUUUUCUUCCGGACAACCUUGCCUUCUUUCUUCGGUAGCAUAUCUAAUGAAUAUUUCUCUGUUUAGUUAAGGAUGAAUGCUUGGAGUGGAGUAUUUGAUAACAUUUCUGCCGUAGAUGAAUCCUUGAAGAAAUGCCUGCACUUCCUGAGACCAAAUACUGGUCUGAUUCAAAACAGCACCUGUCCCAGAAAAUAUGAUUCAAGACAAAGCCAUGUUCUGAAGCAGAAAUGAUGCAUUUCAAAUUUUGAAAUGAUGCAGAAAUGAUACAACAGUUGCAGUAUCCGAGGUACCUUUUCCAUUUAACUGGCCUUUAUUUGUUUUGCUUGUGACUUAAGAACACAUCAUUUUCCAGAGAUUUGGAGAAGCAUCUCAAGAUGCUUAACAAACUUGACAAGCUUCAAGAUGCACUUGCUCCCAAGCCUUGAUUCUUCACAAUGGAAAACCUGUGAGUACACUUAUGCCCGCAAUUAUUGUUAAGUGUUUGCAAUUUUGAUGCAGCGAAAUGGUUUGUGGAUGCAAAGCUUUAAAACUGUUAAGAACUACCCUGCAGGCUUGUUGGAUGUUGUAUACUUCAAAAGCCACCAACACCAAGAACUACAACAGCAAGACUAGGUUUGCGUUGCUUCAAUCAGCUGAAAUAAUGAUGCAAAUUGACACUAUCAAGCUGGACUUAGAGACUAGUCAGGUCAAUCAUCCAUUUCAUCAACAGUUAAUGUCAUGAUGGUGGCUAUCAGAGGAAACAAAAGAUCUGUUGGAAUCAAUUCAAACAGUGAGAAGCAUGAGAGGAGCUUUGAUUAUAAAUAGGCUCAAUGAGCUCAUGCUGGUAAGUGGUAAUUAAGAAAUUUGUGAGCUUAGUAUAGUUUCAAUUUUUUUCUGUUUGGGAUAUAGUUGAUAAGUUGAUACUCUGAUUAAGAAGCCUGAUUAUAGUAGCUGACUGUGCUAACUGCGUUCUUUUAUUUUUUAUUUUUUUGGUUUGCUGUCGUUUUUUCUUUUGAUUAUUUGUUCAACAUUAGAUUGAUCUGUUGAAGACUUUGAGGAAGAUCCAGACUUGGAUGCAGGCGUGCAGCUCUUAAUAGGUGAGACCAAAUGAAUGCUUUAACCAUGUUUCUCACUUAUGACAAUGCACGGAUCGAAGGCAUCUGAGUUGAUCCAGAAAAUGAGAUGGAAAUACGUCUCUGUUUUCAUAAAACAGAACAAAUAGAGAUCUCUGAUCACUCCUGAGAAUUCAUUGCAUUGAAAUUUCUACCAUUGCCAAACAUAGAAUAAACUGGGGAUACAUUAGCUUUAGACUCAAUUUUGAGGAGGAAGUUUGUACUUGCAGCCUAUAAAAUCAUAUCCCUGUUGUAUGUUUCUUUGGGAAAUGAAAGAUUCUGUGUGUUCUUUUAUUUCAAGUUUGCUGAAAUCACAUUUGUUUUCUAAGAUGCUUUACAGAAGGUACCAACAUCAUUUUCAAAAAUGCUGGGGUAAGAUACAUCGUGCAGUGCUCCUCAACAUGAGAAUUCCUGGCCGCAUUACCCAUAUGUGGAAUGAUCUGAGAGUACAACCGUGAGAAUGUUGUAAGGAGUACACAACCAGAUGUGAGUAGUUUGAAAAUGAAUUCGCAUGGAAUGAUUUCUUGCCAGUGCAGAAAUGGCUUGGUUCAAAAGUGCUCAGCUUCAUUGACACUCUUCGGUAGGCCUCUCCGUCCUUCCAUUCUUAACUACAAUACUACUCUUGUCUGUCUAGUUAUGGAAUCUCUCUUUUAAUCCUCAAAGUUUGAAUUAUAUUAUAUUGCCUCUGUGUUUCCGCAGAAACUGAGUCAGUUGGUGAUCCUUCAAAACAAGAAAAACCAAAAACAGAUACAGCGCGCGAUAAGAUAAUGAGACAGAUGGCUCCCGUUGCUGCAUGCCACUUGCUUGUGUGCGUAUUGGGACCAUCAUCAACAACACUGAUGUAAACCCAGCUCAAGGUGGGAAGCUAGUUCGAGCUGCAGGGACGUUAACCAAGAUUUUGAGAAAGAACCCACUUCAAGGUAUUGCUUAGUUAGGCUACGUUGUGGAAAUGAGAAAGUGAUUGACCCUAGAUGUCGCGCCACCAUUGGUACAGUGUCUAACCCCAGCCAUGGAGCUAAAAAGCUUAGUAAGGCAGGUCAGAGAAGUUGGUUGGGUCGAAGAGCUGUGGUUAGAGGAGUAGCCAUGAUUCCAGUUGAUCACCCUCAUGUUGAACGAAGCAAAAGUAGCGGUAACAAUGGAAGGUGUUCACUCACACCUUGGGGCAAGCCUUGUAAGUCUGGGAAUUAAACUGCAUCUCCUAAGAAGAAAGAGAAAUCAGCUGUCUGAUAAUAUUGUCCUUUUCUGCUAUUUGGUCUUUUUAACAUUGUUACACUGUUUUUACAUCUUUGAGGUUAGUUUUAGACCAAUUUUUAACUGAUCCAUAAUAAAAAUUGAAGUUUAAUUUUUGAUUAACUUUCACUGGUUUUACUCUUCUGUCACUUCAAUUUAGCAUUGAUUUAAGAUGCUGAAUUCUGUGCUUGGAGCUUGUAAAUUGGAAAGAGAUAUUUUGGGAUAGAAUGUAGAUUUUGUGUUUUGCUUUCUCAAGCUAGUUGUGACUUCUUAAAAGAGUCAAUCCAUGUCUUUAUAUAUUUUUCUUUUGUCUUGAUUCUGUUUCUUCAUACAGAUUCUUAUUUUAUGCUUCACAUACCACAUGAAAGAUGAAAGCUUUUUCUGUGAUUAGAAUUGAAUUGCAUCAUAGUAACUUUAAACCACUGUGACAUUUUUAUAAUAGCAGUCUAAGAUCUCCUUGAAGGAUUCAAAAGCAUUUCAUUCGAUAGUCUUGGCUUCCAUUAUAAACUCCUUUAUAUAGAUUGGUUGGUCUCUGUUAAAAGCAAUGCCUGUUUUAAGUAAUCAAAAUUUGGGGUUAUUUCUGAAGUCUUCUGUAUCAUCUGACUAAAUUACAUGAAAGCACACUUGGCUACAAAAAUACAUUUGGGGUUAUUUCUGAAGUAUUCAAUAACACCUUUUCCCCCUUUUUCCCCCAUGGUGGUUUUUUUUAGUUCUCUUUAUAGGUUUCUGAAGUAAUUCCAACAUAAGCAUUUUUUUCAGAAGCACUUUAGAUGUGUGGCAUUUAGAAAAUCUCAUUCCAGUGUUCACACAGUAUAAAGCAUAGAGAGUUGGAUUCAUUUUAUUUACGUACAUGUGCUAGUGCCCACUGGCAUCCACUUUACUUGUAUCGGUCAAAAGUUUUAUGCAAUACAAUAUUAGCGUCGAGGAGAACGGGUUGGUGUUGGUCUGAAUUCUGAUAUUUGAAUAAAUAUAACAGCUCAUGUGACUCCACCACUUUUUACUUGUUCUGUAGUCUGUACCUACCUCCAUUGUCGGCACUGCCCAUACAAGGUCUUUUAGCUUUUUAAAAAGUUUCAUGAUAUUCCUUAGUUCACAUGGAUUUCUACAGUUUGUAGAAAACCUAAUUAGGGCACAUUUAAUUAAUAUGCAGAAGAUUCUUUUUUCUUGCUCACCAAUAAUUCUUUGUACUUAUUUGAAAGAUGUGUUUCAAAAAAAUUAAAAAAAAAAUAUUUGAAAGAUGAGAAAUCCCUUAGCCGAACGACAAACUCAUCUAUCAGUCCUAUAAAAAAAAAAUAAAUAAAUAAACUCAUCUUUUAGUGGUUUUUUUUUUUUUCACUUGUAUUCAGUCGCACAAGUGAAGAUUGUGGGCAAUUUUUCCCUUCAGUAAAAUUCGAAUAGAUGUUUUUAUUCACACAAAUUUUCGAGCUAUGUUUGGGAAACCCUUAAGACUUUGUUACGAUGAUAUGUAUCUAAGCUUUCAACAGACCGUUGAGGUCUUAUUAUCAAAAUACUAUAAAUUUACAAUUCGAUUUUGAUAAGGACUAGUUUAAUAAUGCUGUAAUUUUUAAAAUAAUUACCGUUUACUGUGUUGUAAAAAUAAUCAGUUAUGAAAAGAAUCAAUUAAAUAUUUGGUAAAUUUUAUUUUUAAAAGUGCUUUGAAUUUUAAAAAUAGUCAUAUGUAUUCAGAAAAUCUCACUUCUAAAAUACUGUAAGAAUGCAAAAAACUUAAAAAGACAAAUGUAUAAAAUUUAUUUACACAUGCACUUAUAAAUAUGUGUAUAUAAUAACAUUUUAUGUGUACAUAUAAUAAUUGAUAACUAAAAUAAAUAUUUUUUUUAUUAAUUAUUUUUUUGUCUCAAUAUAAUUGGUAAUACUUUUUUUAAUCUUCGCAUCCUAAGUUUUUUUUUUAUUGUUUUGUACAAAAUUCAAGGUUUGGACUUUUAUAAAAUGUCCACUCAAAAAUAAAUUGUUUUCUAACUAAGAUUUGUUGCUAAUGUAUAACUCAAAGUAAUACUAGAUAUUUGUAAUUUUAUUUCAAAAUUUUUAUUCAAAUGAUAUGGUAACUAAUGUACAUUAGUUGAUAGCAAUUUUUUUUUUUUUUACAAUGUUCAAAUCAAUCAAUUGCAUCAUCUCACCAUUUUAUCAAUUGCAUCAUCUCACCAUUUUUUUAUGAUGUCGUGUUAUUUUAAACGAAUUUUUUAUUUUUAUAUAAGACAUUCUAUGUUUAACAUCAUUUGCAUAACUUGACCUUUUUUUUUUCCUACAAAUAGUAAGUCAAAUUUACUCACCCUAUUUCUACCUAAAAUCUACCUAACACUCAUGCAUCACUGUAAAACAAAUCCAAAGAUUGCGGUACGUUUUUCUUGGUAAGAAAUCAAUAAUUAGGUCAAGUACUACUACUAAGCGUGCUCAAUUAAUUCUAAAAUACGGUGAUCAAACUCAUACUUCACGCAAGAGGAUAAGGGCUGAACCGCAAUUAGGCAUUAUUCAUCCAAAAUUCAUUGACUGGGCAUUCUUUGCAAGUUGUAGCACGGGACAGCUAAGAUUAGCAAAUGAUAUGGACCAUACGCACCCAUACAUUUGUGACAUGUGAAUCUUGGCAUUAAAGGAAAGGUAAUGCACUAAAAUUUAAUAGCGCCCAACUCUUCAUUGAAUGAUUAUCAGAUCCAAUGAGCAUCCUUUGAUUGGAUUAAUUUAAGUCAAUUAUUGGUGGAUUGGGGCCCGCUUGACUCUACCAAAUCGGGCUCCGCCAUAUCACCUAUUAACGACCACCUGUCCUUAUCAUAAAUAGCAAAUGUCACUUGUUUUAUUUUGUAUUUUACCAAAAGUAAAGUCACUACGAACCCAAAUGAAAGUGACCUCAAUUUUGGGGGUCAUGAACUUUGGAUUAUUAUGGACACAAGAGACAAGCGCAAUGUUUCUCAUUUAUCACUGGAUAAGAUUUAAGUUAUCAACCCAACAUUAAUAAAUUCUGCUUGAGAAGUAAAGUUUGAAGCUUCAUUUUGCGAAUAUUCAAUGGUUAACAUUUAAGUAAUUAACCUGAUAUUAAUCCAAUUAAACUUUUUAUGUAAUCCAAGUCAAAAACAUAUUGAUAAACCUAAAUUAAUCUAAUUGGACAUAUUAUUUCAACUUGAAAAGGUGAAUCUAUCAUUUUUCAAUUAAUUUUGAAUCAAGCUAUGUAAAAUAUAAGCUUAUUAAAGACAUAUUUUUAUCAUGUUAAAAUAUCGAAGUACUUCUUACUCAUUUCGUAAUAACAUUAACAAACCUUUUGGUAAAUUUGACAGUCCAAUCAAUUCAGUUGGUUUUUUGUUAUUGAAACUCCAACAAAAUUUAUGACGAUUAUUAAAAACCCAUUAAAAAAAAAUGAAGGUAACUAUUUAAAAAAUUCUAAUUGAAUUAUUUAACAACUACAUUUCAACUAAAUUGUGUUGCUAAUUAACUUCCUCAACUUAAACUAUAUUUUUCUGAAUUAAUUCAUAACAAAUAAUGUUAGAUAUUUUAUUCGAAUAAUAACAUUCAACAUCCUUAUUCUUUAUGAUUAUUGCAUAAAAACAUAUUUUAUCCAUUUACAUCACAUAUGUUCCUAAAUUGUAUAAGAAAAUCACCAAAUUUACUCUUGUAAGUUACUAUAUCAAUGAACAUGAAAUUCACUAAUCAUUAAAGUCUCGGAAUGACAUCAUGAGAGGGAUUCAGUUACAUUUAUUGAUAGGAUUAGAUAUAUGUCUUCUCAAAUAUUAGUAGGAGCAAUUUAACAGAUGCAGCUACUAAAAAUAUAGAAUUACUUAUCUCGUCAAUAACUAACGAUAUUUUUUAUCUAUGCUCAAUAAAUUGUAAUAUUUGUAGAUUGUAACAAUUGUUAAAAAAAAAAAGCUCCCUGAGACUAAAUGACAAAAGGACUGUUUUGAAAUAGAUAGAUAAAAUAUGCCCUUAUUUGAAAAAAUGUAAAACACUAGGGAUCUAAAUGUUAUUAUAAUCCCAUGCACAAAAAUACCAAAAAUAACUAAUAACAACUAACCGAAAAUCCCAGGCGUCAUAUUCCUUUUUUCCGCGUUUUAAAAUGCCCUCUGAUUCAUUCACAGUCAGACGCUGUCGGCAUUUCUCUUCUCUCCCUCUCUCUCCACGUAUUAAAACAUGUAAAGUACGGAAAAAUUUAAAAAAAUUUUAAAAUUACAUAAUUUAAAAGAUAUAAAAUUAUACGGUUUUAAAAUUUUUUUAAAUUUUUUCGUAUUUUAAAAUUUCGGACUAAAAAAUUAUUAUACGAAUACUUCGUAUAACCGCUUUGCGCUUAAAAUCUGUGCCUAACAAACUCACGAAAUCACUCCUCAUUUUCCUCUCUCCCUCUCCUCCUCUCAUUCCCUUUCAAAUCCUUCCACCACCUUCCCCGCCUCUCUCUCUUUCUCUCUCCCCUCACCGCCACAGCUCAACUUUUCCAUGUAAACCACCACGGGCGCCGUCGUUUCAACCUCCCACUCAUCCGACGUCGUUUUGUGUGAAUAAGAUAACGAUUUAAAUUAAAAUACGAAAAUGGAGAACUUAACGGCGCAGUUGAAGCGAGGGAUAUCGCGGCAGUUCUCGACGGGAUCGCUGCGGCGGAGCCUGACGAGGCAGAUGUCGAGGCAGUCGUCGUUCGAUCCGAGGAGGAAUAACAUGAGGUUUAGCUUCGGGAGGCAGUCGUCGUUGGAUCCGAUACGCAGGAGUCCGGUUCAGGACGAGUUGACGGUGCCGGAGAACCUUGACUCGACGAUGCAGCUGUUGUUUAUGGCAUGCAGAGGUGACGUCAAGGGAGUCGAGGAUUUGCUGAACGAAGGCAGUGAUGUCAACAGCAUUGAUCUUGACGGACGGUUUUGGCGAGAAAUCAAAGAAUUAAGAGACAGUAUUUAGUUAAGCUAAUAGUAUUUGUUCUGUUUAGUACGUCGUUUUACCAACAAGCAUCCCGGCAUUGCACGCAUUAAUAAAUUUUUUUUAUCUGUUUGGACUGAUGGUGGUAAAAAAUUCCACAUACUUUAUAUUAAAAAGGAAAAAGGACAAACACACCCCUAAUGUCAACUUGGAGGGGGGUCGAUUCCGAGCUCAAGAAGUGGGAAAGAAAGCUGAAGAUGAUUCAGGCGGUGCUCAAUGGUGGGUAUGACGGCAAAAAUAAGUUGGAGGUUUUCUAUGAAUUUGAACAUCUAAGAACAUUCUUCCCAUUACACAUAAGAGGUGGCUCCAAAACUGGUUACAUAACUCGUGUGGUUCUAACUGAUUUGUUGCCGAAGUUUAAAAGGUUGAGGGUGCUAUCUUUACAAGGAUACCAUAUUGGACCAAUUCCAUUUGAAGAUUUGAGACUUCAAAGUAUAAUUACCCAAAGUAUAAUUACCCAAAGUAUAAUUACCCAAAGUGUAUACAAUAAAAGCCAAAUUUAAGAAAUUCCUCAACCUUGCUGACACUGACAUAAGAAGUUUACCUGAGUCAACAUGCUCAAUGUUGAACUUGGAAAUUUUGAUAUUAAGAAAUUGUUUCCGUUUGAUGAAACUCCCGCCCAAAAUGAGGAACUUGGUUAAUUUACACCCAGACUCUUUUCUUUUGACAUGGGGUUAACGAUCAAAGUUGGUUUCGUGCGGUAUAUAUUUACAAAUUGAUAGGUAUGCCUGGUAUGACUGCUUAUGCUGGAUUUUAUGAGGUGUGCUCUCCUAAGCAAGGAGAGUGGGUCUUAAUAUGGGCAAGGGUGCAGUUGGUCAGCUUAUGGGGCAGUUUGCAAAGUUACUGGGCUGCUAUGUUGUCGGAAGUGCUGGAAGCAAAGACCAGGUAUACAAACAAACAAUCCGUAUCAGUUGCUUGAUUGUUCCCAUUUUGCUUUCAAAAUAUCUAACUUACAUAAGGAAAAUUUUCACCAUCUCGUCUUUUCUUUGAUUUUGAACGCUAAGAUUGAUCUACUGAAGAAUAGGCUUGGGUUCGAUGAGGCGUUCAACUAUAAAGAAGAUCCUGAUUUGAAUGCAGCCUUGAUAAGGUUAGUAUAUCAGCAAACUACAAAUUAGAAGACAUUUUUUCCUGAAAAUCAAAUAACGUUUCUAAUUUGACAGGUGCUUUCCUGAAGGCAUUGACAUAUACUUUGAAAACGUUGGUGGGAAAAUGCUCGAUGCGGUGCUGAUCAACAUGAAAAUCGGUGGUCGAAUUGCUGUGCGUGGGAUGAUCUCGCAGUACAACCUUGACGAACCCAAAGGCGUACACAACUUGACGCGUCUUAUUUCGAAACGGGUUCGGAUGGAAGGAUUCCUCGUAUCGGAUUACAAUAAACUCUAUCCGAAAUUUCUGGAAAUGAUCAUUCCUCACAUCAAGGGGGGAAAGAUUGUAUACAUUGAAGACACGGCUGAAGGUCUUGAGAGUGCUCGGGCAGCUCUCGUCGGUCUGUUCUCUGGCCGGAAUCUCGGGAAACAGGUGGUUGCAGUUGCUUCUGAAUGAAUGAAGGAUUUGGUUGUUUACAUCAUGCUUCUACUCGUCCAUUUAUUUAAUAAAAUGGUUACGCUCAAUGAGUGUAAUUUUUAUGAUGCUAAAUUAAAUGUGGAAUGUGGCUGCUGGUUUGAUAAUGUUAAAAGUGCUAAAAAAUUUCAUGUUAGGCGCGGUGUGCGUCUGUAUAUCAUUUUUAGGUACGGGCAUUCUAUCUUUUUUUUUAAUUAAUACAGACACAUUCUUAAACUGUAUGGUUUAAGAGAGAGUUAAAAAAAACUUUUACCACAUGGUUUAAAAGCGUAUCCGUAUGGGAAAAAAAUGAAAGUCCAUUGGAGAAGAAUUUUAUAUAUAGUCCAGGAUAUUAAAGUACGGAAAAACUAUAGAGUUUUAAAAACUUAAAAUUUAAAACGUUUAAACUGCACGAUUUAUGUGUUUUUCGAUGUGAUCCCACAUUUUAAAAUUGUGGAUUGGAACAUUUGUCUUUGAGGGAAAAAAAACAAUAACAACAACUUCUUUUGGAGACCGUGGGGCUCAUAUGCAGAUUCAACCCCGAGCUAUACACUGGAUCUGGUGGGCUAGGUUUGAACCCAAAACAAGCUCUAUUCAUUACACGGUUCAGCGGGUUGGUCCAUUUGACGCUUCUAACUUAACAAUUUAAUCAUAAUAAAUUGAAAAAAUAAAAUAAAACCCACGUAUCUAAAUUAUUGUAUUGAGCUAUUGGUGCAGAGAAUAAGUAUAUAUGAGAACAAAAACAACACGAUGUAGUCGCUCGUUUUGUCACUUCUAAAAUCAGGACUUAGAGCAUCACCAAAAGGCUCUUCAAAUAAGAUUUUAUUACUCAUUUGAAGAGCCACAUCAAUAUUUAAAGCUCCAAAAGACACUCUAAUUAAGAUUCUUCAAAUAAGAAUUGAUUCUCUCUCUUCAAAUUUGGAGAGUUAAUUUCUCCCUCUUCAAUUUAUAUUUUAUUACUUUUCAUUAAAGAAAGAGAGAGAAGUGCUUUAAUUGCUAUUGACUUUUCCUUUUAAAAACUAAUUAUAUGAUUAAAAUAAUAUUAACUUAUUUCUAUUUGAAGAGUCUUUUGGAGAAUAUCAUAUUUUUUCACCCUUCUAUUUGCCACAUAGGUAAGCAAAUAGAUAUUUGAAGAGUAAAAUUUAUAGAGGCUUUUGGAGAUGCUCUUAUGAUAGAGCCAUAGUGUUAACAGUACAUCGGUGUAUAAUUAUUUGUAAUGAAAUUAAUUAAUAUGGGUUUUAUGUUGUCUUUGUCAAUAAUCAAUUAAAUUUUUCGUUUUCAUUUAAAUGUUACUGAUCGAUGAAACAUUUGACUGCGUUCAAGUUAUCUUUUAAUUUUGUGAGAUCCACAUUGUUUUUAUUUCAAAAACAUAAUUUUUCAUAUUAUUAAAAAGCUGUUGCUUGGGCCUAGAGAAAUUGGAUUAAUGAAAUACCUUAAGGGUGUGUUUGACACAUUAUAUUGUAUUAUGUUGCAUUGCAUUAUUUUAUUUGGUGUUGCACUAUACUUUACUAAUUUUUUUGCAAUUAAUUUAAAUUACAUAGUUAGCAAAUAAUAUUUAUUAGUGCUUAGAAAAAUACUAAAUAUAGAAGUCUUAAAUUUUAGAAAUUUAACAAUUUUUUUACUAUAAAUGUUAAAAAAUAUAAUAAUUCUUCAUAAAGAUGGAAGCUUACAGCCUUAAGUUUUUGGAAGCAGAGCAUUUAUUUUUUAGUAUCUUCUAAAUAUAUAAUUUUUGAAAUAAAGAUAUAAGCACAUAAUUUAAUCACAUAGUCUUUAAAUAAUAUAACAACAUAAAUAAAUAGUUAAAAUGUGCAAGAUUAGUUCAAAACUCAUCUUAGGAUGAUAUAAUAAAAGUUUAUACACACCACAAGAUAAUCACAAAAUAAUAAAGUGAUAAAAUUAUUAUAACAUAUUCACUACCAAAAUAAAUUAUAUUAAAUAAUCCAAGUGAGAGUUCUGUAGUUUAUAUAAUAAUAUUAUUUAUGUUAUUAUUAUUAAUUUUAAAUUAAUAUUAUCCAAAUUUAUUCAUACUUAAAUAUGUAUUAUUAGUUAUAUUACAUUAUUUUUACAUAUUAAUUAUUGUAAUAUAAUUAAAUAAUGUAAAAUUAUAUUAUAUUUUUAUAUACUAUUUAAGUAUUUAUUAUUAAUUAUAUUCAAUUAUAAAUUUAUUAAUAAAUUAUAGUGCAAAAAAAAAUAGAAAUAAAAAUUAAUAUUGUAUAAUAAAUAACAUUCUGCUCCCAAUUUCUGGAUUUUAAAUUCCAAAAAUAGUAUUCACGUUCGCCACAUUCAAAAAUCCAACCUGGGCUUGGAGAUUCGAUUCAUCUCAUAGAUUAAUUUUAUAAACUAAUGUUUAGUGAAAAAUUAACCUUAAUGGGUCCUCCUCUCCAGGCCUAAUUCUUAAUUUUUUUUUAAAUUUGGUCCUACUUAAGUGGCUUCUAACGUUACCGUGUCUUUAUUUUGUGUACAGUUGUUUUACUAAUUUGUCAUUUAGUGCAAAUAACAGCACUCAACUUGUAAUAUCCAGUAUCCACAAAUCAGCCACUUCGGCCAAGGCCGAAGUGGUGGGCUGCUGCCCUCACAAUGCUUGUGAGGGCAGCGGUUCUAGCCCCCACAAAAGCAUUGUGGGGGCUAAAUGUUCUUUAUAUUUCCAAAAAAAUCCUUCUCCCUUGCGAAAUGCAAGUGGAGUAUGGACAUCCCUCUCCUGUGAGGGGUUAUUUGUCUGGGCAUGUACUUCAUAGAAUUCAUUGUAAUAAUGUAAGUCUCAAUCAUGUAUAUCUGAUAGAAUUCAUUGUAAUAAUGUAAGUCCCAAUCAUGUAUAUCUGAUUGUAAAUAUCAGUGUAAUAUCUCUGCUACAAUAAGCAGUUGUUGUAAAUAUCUUUCAUUGUAAUAAUGUAAGUCCCAAUCAUGUAUAUCUGAUUGUAAAUAUCAGUGUAAUAUCUCUGCUACAAUAAGCAGUUGUUGUAAAUAUCUUUCAUUGUAAUAAUGUAAGUCCCAAUCAUGUAUAUCUGAUUGUAAAUAUCAGUGUAAUAUCUCUGCUACAAUAAGCAGUUGUUGUAAAUAUCUGUGUAAUGCAGUAAUCUGAUGAUUAAUCAGUAUUAAAAAAAAAAAGUAUCCACAAAUCAUGAACUCAUUUUUUAGUUCUUUCAUGUGUACUAACAUUCGUACAAAUAUACAAUAAGUUCAUAAUUUAGUCCAAGUUGACGAGAAAUUCUUGACCCACCCCUAAAUAUCUGUCCGCCAAUAGCGUGAAGUGGCCGGCAUAAAUUUAAAGCAGCUGGGACAUUGUAACUCAUCCAAAGAUUGUAUAACAUCUCUUUUUUGCUUUAUCGUUUUUCUCCAUUUGCAUAGUUUCUUAUCCUACCGCUUUAAAAACAAUUAUUCCUAGAAAUUUUCAUUUAUCUAAUGAAUUUUAAGAAAUUUUUCAGCAAACAAUUUUUACUUUUUUUUUUUUAUCAUUGAUGGGUAAAGAAAAUAUUAAUGAAAAAUGAGGAGUUAUUGGCUGGUUCAACGGAUUAAUUGCAAUGAUAAAUACAGGGAGGAUUGGAUUAUAUGGCAAAUUUUUAUAGUAAAUGUAAUAUAUAUGCUAACGCUUUUUAUUUAUGGAAAAAUAUCUUCCUCUUUUGAGACUUUUCCCACUAAGAAAAUUGGAGGAUACGACCAAAAAAAAAAAAAUAUAUAUAUAUAUAUACUAAUAUUUAUCAUUUAUAGAAAAGUAUCUAUCCCACUUAAGAUUUGCCCCACUAGAAAAGGAAAAACAAAUCCCUCAAAAUAAAAGAGCGAAAUGGAAACAGAACAAAAUUUGAUUUUGUGGAUCUUGUAUUGUGUGAUAAGUCCGGCAUGCAAUUUUGGGCCAGCGUACCGUGCGCAUGGGAGCAUUCACAAAGUAUCUCUCGUCACUAUCGAAAACUUUUAACAGUCAAUACAAAUGCUUCCGUUUCAUCCCAUAAACAAAUAAAAUUCACAUCUGUACACAUCUACUUUUCUUUGCUAGAUAGAGUUCCUCUGCAUUUCCCAAUUGCCUAAAGAGAAGGGGAAAAGAAAAAGAGGGCCAAAAAAUGCCUGAAAUGGUAAGGAACAAGCAAGUGAUAUUGAAGGACUAUGUGUCUGGUUUCCCAAAAGAAACAGACAUGUACAUGACCGAAAGUUCCAUAGAAUUGAAGGUACCAAAAGGUUCGAAUGGGGUUCUUUUAAAGAACUUGUACUUGUCCUGUGAUCCGUACAUGCGACCAAGAAUGACCUACAUCGGAGGAUCUUACGUUGAAUCCUUUAAACCUGGCUUGGUUAGUGCACUCGCUCAUGGCCACGCUUUUCAUUUCCAUGGCUUCUUGCUCUUUUGUUAUAGAAAAUUUAUUUUUGGUUGCAGUUUGGUUCGACUGCUAAAAUCUCGUGCGAUAACUGUAUAAGAUAUCUAGAGUUUGAACUUCUUUCACAUUAGGGUUCAAGGAAGUUAACUUAAAUGAUUUUCAAAAUUUUAAAUGUGUACCAAUGAGUUUAAUUUCAUAGCUUAAACUUAUAUUUUGAUCAUACUCUAACUUUGGACAGGAAAAUUAUAUUUUUCCUUUUGUUCUUUGACUUGGUGUAUGUUGUGUGAAGUACUUGUGCUUGAAAAUUAAUUGCUGACACAGAAAUUUCUAUGAAUGCAUGCAGCCCAUAAGUGGAUAUGGGGUGGGUAAAGUUUUGGAUUCAGAGAAUCCAGAGUUCAACAAAGGUGACUUGGUUUGGGGAAUGACUGGAUGGGAAGAGUAUAGUCUCAUUACGGCUCCACACUUGUUUAAAAUUCAACACACAGAUGUGCCUCUUUCUUACUAUACUGGAAUCCUCGGUAAACUUUUUGUUUGCGCAAUUUAUGUGAGCAAAUUGUGUCUUGUUUUUCAUUAGUAAAUGUUUUUGAUAUCUCGAUGUGAAGGUAGAAAAUUGCAUGUUUUGAGUUUUUGCAUAUUUGAUGGAAACACAGAACUAUACCUGAAUCUUUCAGACCCCCCUUUUCUUUGAAGUUUGAACACUUUUCUUGAAUGUAUCAACUUUAUUUAUGGGGUAUGUUGCCAAAUUGGCAAAUCUAUUCGUUAUAAAACUUUCCUUUGACAGUUAAUCUAAGCAGAUGUUAAUUCUGCAAAUAGAGUGUGCCUUAGUUUAGAUUGAUAGAUUUGUCUCCUUCUGUACAGUAAAAACUUUGAGCAUUUUCGCCAUAUUCUGAUCAAUACACUCCAACUAGUUAGUUCUUGAGGCGUUUUCUGGUUUCGUGGAGUGAGCCAAGAUGUAUACGUUUGCAAAUUGGCAAUGUCUUUUGCUUGAUGGGUUGUGAGUUGAGAGUGUCAAUAGGAAAGUCUCAAAGUGCACAGUGCUCACUUGAGCACCCAUAUUACUUGGUGACCUGUUACCUCAGCAAACAAGACCUCUGUUUUAUGAACUCCAAAAAGUUAUUCUGUUAAAAAGAUCGAGACAGAGGCCAUACUAUAUUUAUUAUUGCCAUAAAAGUGUGAAACAAUAUUCUUUAUUUAAUAUUCUAAACGAUUGAGCCAUUUAGUUAUGAUACUUUGCUGUACUGGGGCUAAUAAUCUAAGUCGGUUCAAAGUGGUAAAUUUAUAAAUUGAUAGGUAUGCCUGGUAUGACCGCUUACGUUGGUUUUUAUGAGGUCUGCUCUCCUAAGCAUGGAGAGUGUGUCUUCAUAUCAGCAGCAUCUGGUGCAGUUGGUCAGCUUGUGGGGCAGUUUGCAAAGUUAUUGGGCUGCUAUGUCGUCGGAAGUGCUGGAAGCAAAGACAAGGUAGGUUAUCUGUGUGAAGUACUUGAUUGUUUCCAUGUUACUUUCAAACAUUUAAAUUAAAAAGGAAAUUUUCAUAAUCUUGCCUUUUCUAUGAUUUUCAAAACCAAGGUUGAUCUACUGAAGAACAAGUUUGGGUUCGACGAGGCAUUUAACUAUAAAGAAGAAGCUGAUUUGAAUGCAGCAUUGAAAAGGUUAGCAUCAAUAAAUGCCUUAGCUUGAUGCAGCUUGAUGAAGUAUGAUACAUAUUUCUGACCAAUAUACUGCGUUCCCUGAUCUCUUACUUGAAAUAUCUUGGUUUGAGAAUCUCAUGCUAAUGCCUUUAACAUUUUGGCAGGUACUUUCCUGAAGGAAUUGAUAUAUAUUUUGAAAACGUUGGUGGAAAAACUCUUGACGCAGUGCUACCCAACAUGAAAAUCCGUGGUCGAAUUGCUGCAUGCGGUAUGAUCUCACAGUACAAUCUUGACAAGCCUGAAGGUGUGCACAACUUGAUGUAUCUUGUUUCGAAGCGGCUUCGAAUGGAAGGAUUCAUUGUUCUCGAUCACUAUCACCUCUAUCCAAAGUUUCUGGAAAUGAUCAUUCCUCACAUCAAAGAAGGGAAGCUUGUAUACGUUGAAGACAUGGCUGAGGGUCUGGAGAGUGCUCCGGCAGCUCUCAUCGGUCUAUUCUCUGGCCAGAAUGUUGGGAAACAGGUGGUUGCUGUUGCUCCUGAAUGAAGAACAAGUUAGUGUUGUAUGUUCGUUUACCCUUUGACACAAAACUUCAAUGUUAAAGAGAGAAUGCUGCUCAUACUGCUUUAUAAAAUAAUCAAAUGAGUGCAAGUUUCAUGAUAUGUGCUGAAUAAAAAUAUUGGAAAUUAAGCAGCUAGCCUAGCUCCUUGUAGUUGCAGUUUGAAUGAUGCUGCUGCACAACCGCUGCCGAAAAAAUCCUUAAUAGAUGAUUAGCGAGGUUUCAAAAAUAAAAAUAAAUGUUUGUGCAAUGUGCCGAAUAUGACAGCCACAAAGAAAGAGCAUACAAAUUGAUUGGUUUUAUGUCUUCUCUAGGAGAAGGCUACAAUACAAGAAAUUGUAUUGAUGGAGCCAUGGACCAAAUUUCUUAUUUAAACUUUUAAUUUUUUUUAUUAAAUUACUUAUGUUAUUAUGGUUUAUAUUUUUAGAAAUUCUUUAGAAAUUAAUACAGAACUAGUAGCAAGUUGAGAAAUCUACUGAAUGGUCAAGAUAUGAUCAUGUUUAUUGAAUUAAAUUGGCAAUCAUCAUUUUGAUAAAUUAUUAUCGGGAUAUUUGAUUCAUCACAGGUGUAAGUAACUAAAUGUGCUAAAGAAAAAAGUUAAUGAGUUGGACGUGUUUAAUAUUCAUUUGUUGUAAUUCUUUUAAUAAUUAUUAUGGAAAAAAAAGUUAUGGUAAAAAAAUUAUAAUUAUAAAAUAAAAAUUAAUAAUAUAUAAUAAAUAAAUUUUUUAAAUAAUAAAUAUAUUAUGAGUUUUUCAUCGUUAAUUUUUAAGUCAAAAUAAUAAAUAUUUACUAAAUAUUUUAAUACCACAACUAAUACCACAACUUUUGAAUUAUAACAGUACAAUGUAAAUGACAGAGGCCUUAAAAAAUAAAAUUACAGUCAAGUUUUAAAACUGUUAAUGAUAUUCAUAAAGGUGCUCGUCGUGUAAAAACACAUGGGACCCAACCAAUAAAUGCUUAUGAACCUCAACUUUCCUCCUCACUGUCCCUGCAAACAAUUCUGAUUUUCUUGUCUGAGCAAAAAACUGAGAAACAAUGGCGGCCGAACAAGAAGCUGUGAGGAAUAAGCGGGUGAUUCUAAGCAACUAUGUGACAGGUUUUCCAAAAGAAUCAGACAUGAAGAUAACAUGUGGAUCAAUAAAACUGAAGGUAGCAGACGGUUUAAAAGAUACGGUGCUUUUGAAGAAUCUUUAUAUUUCUUGUGAUCCUUACAUGCGAGAGCGUAUGAGCAAGCUUGAUAGACCUUCUUUUGUUGAUUCAUUCCAUCCUGGUGAGGUUAGUUCAUCACGACCCAUCUCUUGAUUUUUUUUUUUUUUUUUCAUUUGCUUCAAGUUUUGAUGAGUUUCUGAGGUCAUUUGUACGGUUUUGGAAUGUGAAUACAAUUGGUGAUUUUGGUGCUGUAACUGUCAUUAAUGAUAUGUAGUAAUUCAAUCAGAAUUUGGAUUUAGUGCUGGUAUGAUCUCUGCUCAUUUUUUAAAAUCUUGUGUCCACAUGCAUUUUUAUAAUCUUGUACGGUUGAGAUUGUAUGUAGAUUAAUCUACGUACAGUAUUCUUGUCUAAUGACUAGUAACCACAACCUUAUGAGACGAUCGAAACCAAGCUCAGAUCAAUAAUCCAAUCGAGAGAGGAUCAUAACUCAAGCUUAUCGUGUGUGGGAAUAUUUCGGUUAAAUUGUAAUCAUGAUCAUGAAUCAUGCAGGGAAAAGGGAAGUUGAGGUCAAUUUAUGCACUUGAUGGAAUUAAAGAACCAAUAUUUGAUUUUGGUUUACAUUAUUUCUCAGUAAUGGUGACUUUGUGAUGUUAAAUUUAUGCAGCCUAUAAACGGAUAUGGGGUGGCCAAAGUUUUGGAUUCUACACAUCCAAAUUAUGCAAAAGAUGACUUGGUUUGUGGCUUUAUGGGGUGGGAGGAGUACAGUGUCGUUACAGCUCCGCAGCUUUUGAUUAAAAUUCAGCAUACAGAUGUGCCACUUUCAUACUAUACUGGGAUCCUUGGUAAUGAUUUUUGCUACACAAUAAGAUUUGCUUGUAGUAAUAUCAAUACAUAUGCUGCUUAAUGCUUUCUGAUUUUUUGCCGGCGAUUGUCCAUUUUGCCCUGGAGUCUAUAAUUGAGGGAAUUUACUGAAGGAAUGUGAUUGUUGGGAAUUUGAUUAUUCUAGGUAUGCCUGGUGUGACGGCAUACGCUGGUUUAUACGAAGUUUGCUCUCCGAAGAAAGGAGAAUAUGUAUAUGCAUCUGCAGCAUCUGGAGCUGUUGGUCAGCCUGUUGGCCAGUUUGCAAAACUAGCUGGUUGCUAUGUUGUUGGAAGUGCUGGAAGCAAAGAAAAGGUGCUGUUAUAACAUUUUCAAGUUGUAAAUAAUUUAAUUUCAAAAUUGUCUGAGUUGUACAUGCUUUUUGUUCUAACCAAGCAUCAAAAUUUUGAUCGUGAUAAUUAGCAAGUUCAAUAAUUUUUUUGAAUAUCUUUUCAAUGUAAGGUCGAUUUGUUGAAGAACAAGUUUGGAUUCAAUGAUGCUUUUAACUACAAGGAAGAGCCAGACUUGGAUGCUGCUCUCAAAAGGUCAGCUGCGACAAAUGCUUCAACUAUAAUUUUUCACUUUAAUAUAUAUUACAGAGCUUUGGUAAUUUGGUUGAAGUGCGUGAGUCGAUCCCGAAAUUGUAACUUCACCAGUGUUCUCUGUUUUAAAGAAACAGGAAGUAUUAGAAAUCUGAUUUUUCUUUUAUGGAUAAGCUGAGAAUAAGUGACUGAAUCCAUUGUCUGGUUAAAAAUGUUUACAUGUGUUAAUAUGAACUAUCCUUGUUUAGUAAUUGGAUAGUUUGAUAACUUUGUGGAGCAUUUGUGUACGAAGUGUCAAAUAAUUUUGAUUGAAAUAAGAACUUAGUGGAUGCAUUCAAUGAUUUUUUUUCCUUUUUUUCUCUCUCCCCAAGAUAUUGAGAGAAUGAUUGUAACAUUUGAGGGAUAAGAUCAAAGUGUCUUUGAGGACACCUCAUUGAUUGAUGAAGAACAAAUUACAGCCGUUAGAUUAUAGUAAAAUUAAAGACAUGAAUAGUAUACAUUUUUUGUGUGAAAAAGUAAGAAGAGACAUUCCUUUGUAGUUUGUACAAAAUUGACUUAAUGCUGAAUGCAAAGUUAACUUAAUAAUUUGUCUUUAAACUAUUAUUAUUAUUGUUUAAUCAACAUUGACUUUGUGGCACCAUCCACCAUCUGCAAUUGAAUAUCAUUAUUGUUUAAUCAACAUGGUGGAGUCCACUGGAACCACACCACAUGGUCAGUCUUAUCUCUAUUCCUCAAUUUUCAAUAUUCCAUACAUCCAACCAAUUUCAGGUUUGUUAGCAAUUAUAAGUUCAUUGUUGGUGACGAUUCUGAUUCCUUUCUUUCUCAUAAAACGGAACCAUGGUUGCUUUUGGAGAGAUCUUACUCAACGCCUUCUUUCAGGUGUUGUUUGAUAGGUUGGCUUCUGGUAAUUUUCUCAGCUUUGUGCGUCAACUCCAAGGCGGGGUUGAUUGGGAACUCAAAAAGUGGGAGAAAAAGCUGAAGAUGAUUCAGGCUGUGCUCUGCGAUGCAGAGGAGAAGCAACUGAUCGACGAGGCUGUGCAGAUGUGGCUGGACGAACUCCAAGACUUGGUUUAUGACGCUGAGGACAUUCUUGAUGAGUUUGCUACUCAAGCUUUGGAAAGCGAGUUGAUGGCGCAAAAUCAGGAUAGCUCUGGCCAGCUUCUCAGUUUCAUCCCAGCUAGUUUGAAUCCGAAUGCUAUUAUGUUCAAUUAUAGCAUGGGGUCCAAGAUUAAAGAUAUUACUAGCCGGUUGGAGCACCUUGGCCAAGAAAGAAUUGAACUUGGUCUGCAACGGAUUACUGGAGGGGCAUCAUCAUCUACUGCUGCUGCACACCAGAGGCCACCCAGUUCAAGUGUCCCAACAGAGCGUGAAGUAUUUGGAAGAGAAGAAGAUAAGGCCAAAAUUCUUGAUAUGGUAGUGACCGAUACCCCCAGUGAUCAUGCCAACUUUGUUGUAAUACCCAUUGUUGGCAUGGGCGGGAUAGGAAAAACAACUCUUGCUCGGGAGGUCUACAAUGACAAGGCCGUUGAAGAUUCCAAGUUUGAUGUAAAAGCAUGGGUUUGUGUCUCUGAUGUCUUUGAUGUUUUGGGCAUCUCAAAGGCACUUCUUGAGUCAAUCACCCGCAGGCCUUGUCUUCUGAACAGUUUAAAUGAAGUGCAGGUUGAGUUGAAAGUAGCUGUGGAUAAAAAAAGAUUCUUGCUGGUCUUAGAUGAUGUUUGGAACGAGGACUACAGCUUGUGGGUAGACUUAAAAGCUCCAUUCUUGGCAGCUGCACCAAACAGUAAGAUGAUUGUCACCACACGCAAUUCAAAUGUUGCAUCAAUAAUGGGACCAAUUGAACAUUAUAAUCUCAAGAGACUGUUAGAUGAUGAUUGCUGGUCCAUUUUCAUACAGCAUGCACUUGAAUCUAGAGAUCUUAACGCACAUCAAAUUUCAGAAUCAUUCCGCAAGAAAGUUGUUGGCAAGUGUGGAGGCUUGCCCCUGGCAGCAAAAACACUAGGGGGCCUUCUGCGUACUACGAGGCAUGAUGCAUGGGACGAUAUAUUAGAUAGCAAAAUAUGGGAUUUACCUCAACAAAGUCGCGUUCUCCCUGUGUUAAGAUUGAGUUACCACCAUCUUCCGUCUCAUUUGAAAAGAUGUUUCGCUUAUUGUGCAAUCUUUCCAAAAGAUUAUGAAUUCAAUGAGAAGGAGCUGACUUUCUUAUGGAUGGCUGGAGGAAUUAUUCGACAGUCAAGAAAGAAUGAGCAGCUGAAAGAUUUGGGCGGCAAGUGCUUUCAUGAUCUAGUGUCAAGGUCAAUUUUUCAACAAACCAGCUCGGGCAGUUCUAAAUUUGUAAUGCACGACCUUAUCCAUGAUCUUGCUGAACUGGUUUCUAGAGAAACCAUUUUCAGAUUAGAGGAGGCCAACUUGUCAUCAAGAAGAUUUGAAAGGAUCCGCCAUUUUUCCUAUACCCGUGGUCGGUAUGAUGGUAAAAAUAAGUUCAAGGUUUUCAAUGAAAUUGAACAUCUACGAACAUUCCUACCAUUACACGAAAGACGUGGCUAUUACAUAACUCGAACGGUUCUAUCUGAUUUGCUGCCAAAGUUCAGAAGGUUGAGAAUGCUAUCUUUACAAGGAUACUGUAUUGGUGAGUUACCAAUGUCAUUGAAGAUCUGAGACUUUUAAGGCUCCUCAACCUUGCUGACACUGACAUAAGAAGUUUACCUGAGUCAACAUGCACAUUGUUGAACUUGGAAAUUUUGAUAUUAAGAAAUUGUUCCCGUUUGAUAAAGCUUUCGUCCAAAAUGAGGAAUUUGAUCAAUUUACGCCAUCUUGAUAUAAGAGGUGCGAAGUUGCUGAAGGAGAUGCCAUCCGGAAUGAAGGAGUUGAAGAAUCUUCAAACGUUGUCCAAUUUUAUUGUGGGCAAGGGUGAAACUGCAUCCGGUUUGGAAGAUUUAAAAUGUUUAAACUUUCUUUGUGAUGAACUAUGCAUGAGUGGAUUAGAGAAUGUGAAUAAUCCACAGAAUGCAAGAGAAGCUGCAUUAUGUGAGAAGCACAAUCUUGAAGCAUUGACUCUAGAUUGGGGGUCUCAAUUUGACAGUUCUCGAGAUGGAGUAGUAGAAGAGCAUGUACUGCAAAUUCUACAGCCUCAUAAAUGUAUAAAAAAGGUGGCAAUCAAGAACUAUGAUGGUGUAAGAUUUCCACUUUGGAUCGGAGAUCCUUCGUUCUCCAAGAUGAAGGUCCUUAAAUUGGAGAACUGUCACAAUUGUGUAUCUUUGCCGUCGCUUGGCCUGUUGAGUUCACUUAAGCACCUUGCUGUUAAAGGGCUGAAGAAACUAAAAAGCAUAGGGUCUGAGGUUUAUGGGGAGGGUUUCUCAAUGCCUUUUCCAUCACUGGAGAUUCUAAGUUUCGAGAAUUUCCCAGAAUGGGAGCAUUGGGACACCGAGAUCAAAGGAAAUGUGCCUGUUGAUAUAUUUCCUCGUCUCCAAGAACUUUCCAUUGCAGAAUGUCCCAAACUCUCUGGACAACUGCCUGAGCUCCUGCCUUCCUUGGAGACACUUGUUGUUAGUAAAUGUGAAAAGUUGGUAGUUCCAUUGUCUUGCUAUCCGAUGCUCUGCAGAUUAGAAGUUGAUGAGUGCAAAGAACUAGUCUGCCGGACUCCGAUUGAUGUUAAGUUGAUAAAGUCCAUGACUAUUUCAAAUAGUUCAUUAGACCUGAAUGGAUGCAAGGGGAUGCUAUACGAUGGUCCAGCUGGCUCUUCACUGCCAAAGCCCAUGACUACUACAAAUGUUUUGGAGUUUGGAAAAUUAUUGAAGCCUGGAUUUCAGAUAUUCGAAACUUUGGUAAUUGGCAAUUCUGAACAGCUCAAGUCAUGGAGGCAGCAUGGGGAUUUUCCUAAAAAAUACAUGGUCACUGACCAUAGGUUUAAAAAACCAGUACCAGGGCUGAAUAUACUCGCUUCCCCUGAAGAGGUAAAAAUUGAAGAAAGCUGCGUAAGUCUUGUUAUGUUUCCAGAGAUCAAUUUUUUUCCCAGAAAUCUGCGCUCUCUUCUAAUUAAAAACAGCACAACUUUAAAAUCCUUACCCGAGGAAGUGAUGGACAACAAUUCACAACUCGAAAGGUUGUAUAUCAGAGAUCGCGACUGUCUAACAUUCAUCGCAAGACGGAGGCUACCGGCAUCUCUUAAAAGGCUCGAGAUAGAAAAUUGUGAGAAAUUGCAACAUCUGUUCGAUGAUGAAGAGGAUGCUUCUUCUUCUUCUUCUCCUGCAUCCUCGUCGUCCCCAGUGAUGCUGCAACACCUGAGUAUAGAGAACUGCCCAGAGCUCACCAGUUUAUCAUCGGGUGUCCAAUUCCUUGAGGCGCUUGAAGACCUCGAGAUACGGGAUUGUCGAAAGCUGGAGUCAUUACCGGAUGGCCUGCACAAUCUUAACUGUUUACAGAAGAUUAGUCUAGUGAGUUGUCCAAGUCUUGUUUCCUUCCCAGAAAGAGGGCUUCCCCACACCAUUUCACAGGUUGACAUUUUUUAUUGUGAAAAGCUUGAAGCCCUGCCCAAUGACAUGCACAAACUCAACUCUCUUCGAGAUUUAAGCAUAUUGGGGUGUCGAAAUCUUGUAUCGUUUCCAGAAGAAGGUUUUCCUACCAGUCUAACAUCACUUAGAAUUGGAGAUUUCAAAAUGUAUAAGAUACUCGUCCAGUGGGGGUUGCACAGGUUUACCUCUCUUAGACGCCUCUAUAUCGUUGAUUGUGAUGGCGAAGCAGAGUAUUUUCCAGACGAGGAGAUAGGAAUGACGCUGCCCACCUCUCUCACU
rnacentral:lncRNA from 1 species